UACAGAGGUCCCAAGCGUUGUUCGGAUUCAUUGGGCGUAAAGGGUGCGUAGGUGGCGCCGUAAGUGGGGUGUGAAAUUUCGGAGCUUAACUCCGAAACUGCAUUCCAUACUGCGGUGCUUGAGGACUGGAGAGGAGACUGGAAUUUACGGUGUAGCAGUGAAAUGCGUAGAGAUCGUAAGGAAGACCAGUGGCGAAGGCGGGUCUCUGGACAGUUCCUGACACUGAGGCACGAAAGCCAGGGGAGCAAACGGG
rnacentral:rRNA from 1 species